rnacentral:miRNA from 1 species
AUGUAUGCAGUUUUCAACAAGAUUUACAACCUGGCACUUCACUUUAAAAUCAGCAGCACCAAGCAAUAAAAACUUUAGCUGACAGCUAAAGUUUUUAUUGCUUGGUGCUGCUGAUUUUAAAGUGAAGUGCCAGGUUGUAAAUCUUGUUGAAAACUGCAUACAU